CGUCAUUCAUUGAUGGGGAUAGUUUUGGUUUCUCUGUGCGGCAUGUGUGAAAGAAAACUAGAGGUCUUCACACGCCGGGGAAUGCUCGUUGGGUCCGAGUGAGCCGGAAUCGCUACUAGAGGAGCCAGAGUUCAGAUGUUCCGGAUCCGGCUCGAAUGUGAUGGCUCGCUCAAAAGAGGAUGCGAUGUGUGGGUGGCUCGCUUCCCGUGCUCAAGAAACGGGAUUACACCGAGUCUAUGUGAUCGGUUCACGAUGUCCUGAAUCGCUAAACCGGGUGAUGAUUCUUUCGAGGGUGUAGAUUGCUCGGCUCUCGCUUCAAGGACGUGAUAGGGUGCACUCGACGAAGAAGCGGAACGGAACGCGGCAACCGCAAGGCAAACUAAUCGUGAUGGAGAUGGUGUCUCGACCGGAUGGAAAAAAUGGUCUCGCUUUUGGAACACUUUAAAGACCAUGUUAGCAUUAAUAGCAGCCGUGAGAUGGUAGACGAUUUGCUGGGAUUGGCCGACCUGCUAGCGACGAAUGGCUAGAUACCGGAUAAAGUGCUGGUAACGCAGGACCCUACCUACACUUGCGCGGAGCGCUUUUCUGGCUGGUAAAAAGCUUCUCCCGACCAAUCAAAACAAUCACUGGAUUGUAUUGCAAAUUGUGGGAGUAUUUUCUACAUUCGGCAAUAGAGAACAGUUUCGAUUUGCCACUUAGCUACCAGUUAGCGUGUCAAGCGUGGAUAACCAGCAGUGCACUAUCCAAAAUGUUUAUUCAACUGUUGGCAGGAUAACGACCGUGGAAUGGUCUGUACCGAGGUCUGGCGAAAGGACGCUGUGCUUCUUCGGAAUUGUCCUUCUUUCAGGAUCUCAAUCAGGAUGCACACGCGCCACAUAGUGUGAAUAAUUUCACCAGAACCCAAAAAGAAUCAUUUUCCACUAGGACGGACUAAGCUGGAUAUUUCGAUCCAUAAAAUCAACAAACGGCUGGAAAAAAACAACGGCCAACUAUCCUCGCCUGCAAGCUGUGGAUCCAAUCCAGGUCGUCCUGGCCCAGAACAGAGGGUGAUGGAAGCUCGACCUCCGUGUUGGUGUUUGCCUCGGUGAUAGCCUGCGAUGGAUUUUGGACAACGAUUUCUUGUGAUUCGAUACCCGGUGGAUCGUAGACAGAUUGCACGAGUUGGACUAAUUCAACCAACACAUUUUGCAUCUGUGUUAGAAGAUUAGGGGAACCUCGUGACGAACACAGAAGGGUAGCCACUCGUGUACCCACAUGGGCUAGACGGGCUAAGCAAAUUCUUUUCUGUGAUUCGUCUGAAAUGUUAGAUUC